UACAGAGGGGCAAGCGUUAUUCGGAAUUAUUGGGCGUAAAGGGCGCGUAGGCGGCUUUGCAAGUGGCGGGUGAAAUCCCUCGGCUUAACCGAGGAACUGCCUGUCAAACUGCAUGGCUUGAGACCAGGAGAGGUGAGUGGAAUUCCCGGUGUAGCGGUGAAAUGCGCAGAUAUCGGGAGGACACCAGCGGCGAAGGCGGCACUCUGGGCUGGAACUGACGCUGAGGAGGCGAAAGCGUGGGUAGCAAAGUAGGA
rnacentral:rRNA from 1 species